AUUGAACGCUGGCGGCAGGCUUAACACAUGCAAGUCGAGCGGGGGAAGGUAGCUUGCUACCGGACCUAGCGGCGGACGGGUGAGUAAUGCUUAGGAAUCUGCCUAUUAGUGGGGGACAACAUCUCGAAAGGGAUGCUAAUACCGCAUACGUCCUACGGGAGAAAGCAGGGGAUCUUCGGACCUUGCGCUAAUAGAUGAGCCUAAGUCGGAUUAGCUAGUUGGUGGGGUAAAGGCCUACCAAGGCGACGAUCUGCAGCGGGUCUGAGAGGAUGAUCCGCCACACUGGGACUGAGACACGGCCCUGACUCCUACGGGAGGCAGCAGUGGGGAAUAUUGGACAAUGGGGGGAACCCUGAUCCAGCCAUGCCGCGUGUGUGAAGAAGGCCUUAUGGUUGUAAAGCACUUUAAGCAGGGAGGAGGCUACUCUAGUUAAUACCUAGGGAUAGUGGACGUUACUCGCAGAAUAAGCACCGGCUAACUCUGUGCCAGCCGCCGCAGUAA
rnacentral:rRNA from 1 species